ACCUCCAGCAUCCCUAGUAUUGGAGGCACUGCCUGCCCAGUGACAAACGUUAAACGGCCGCGGUAUCCUGACCGUGCAAAGGUAGCAUAAUCAUUUGUUCUCUAAAUAAGGACUUGUAUGAAUGGCCACACGAGGGUUUUACUGUCUCUUACUUCCAAUCGGUGAAAUUGACCUUCCCGUGAAGAGGCGGGAAUAAAUAAAUAAGACGAGAAGACCCUAUGGAGCUUUAACUAAUUAGUCCAGAGAAAAUUAAGCCCUAACCACCAAGGGACAACAACACUCUCCAUGGACUAACAGCUUUGGUUGGGGUGACCUCGGAGAAUAGAAAAUCCUCCGAGCGAUUUUAAAGACUAGACCGACAAGUCAAAUCAAACUAUCGCUUAUUGAUCCAAAAACUUGAUCAACGGAACAAGUUACCCUAGGGAUAACAGCGCAAUCCUAUUCAAGAGUCCAUAUCGACAAUAGGGUUUACGACCUCGAUGUUGGAUCAGGACAUCCCGAUGGUGCAACCGCUAUCAAA
rnacentral:rRNA from 1 species